CACGGGGGGAGCAAGCGUUGUUCGGAAUCACUGGGCGUAAAGGGCGUGUAGGCGGUCAAGUAAGUGGAAUGUGAAAUGCCCCGGCUCACCCGGGGAUCUGCAUCCCAAACUGCUUGGCUUGAGUAUGGGAGAGGAUGAGGGAAUUCCUGGUGUAGCGGUGAAAUGCGUAGAUAUCAGGAGGAACACCGGUGGCGAAAGCGCUCAUCUGGCCCAAUACUGACGCUGAGGCGCGAAAGCUAGGGGAGCAAACGGG
rnacentral:rRNA from 1 species